GGGUUGGUGGAGUGUGGUCUAAACCGUUGGUUUUCGACCACUACGACCCGGGUUCGAUUCCCGCAUUGGGCA